GGGCCCGUAGCUCAGAUAGGCAGAGCAGCUGACUCAUAAUCAGUAGGUCGCCCGUUCAACCCGGGCCGGGCCCA
rnacentral:tRNA from 1 species